rnacentral:rRNA from 1 species
CAGUAGCCGCGGUAAUACGUAGGGUGCGAGCGUUAAUCGGAAUUACUGGGCGUAAAGCGUGCGCAGGCGGUUAUAUAAGACAGAUGUGAAAUCCCCGGGCUCAACCUGGGACCUGCAUUUGUGACUGUAUAGCUAGAGUACGGUAGAGGGGGAUGGAAUUCCGCGUGUAGCAGUGAAAUGCGUAGAGAUGUGGAGGAAUACCGAUGGCGAAGGCAGCCCCCUGGGCCAAUACUGACGCUCAUGCACGAAAGCGUGGGGAGCAAACAGGAUUAGAUACCCGGGUAGUCCCUGUCUCUUAUAC